rnacentral:rRNA from 1 species
AUGCAUGGGCAGGAAUAUGAUUUGAAGCAUUCUCCUGUUGAACCACAAGCCCUUUACAAAGCUGGUGGCGGGAAGCCGCACGGAAAGUGGCCGCUAUUGAAUGGUGCCGUGGAGGGUACAGAGACUCUUAGGGAGGUGCAGAUCAAUCGCACUUUGUCUUCGUCAAAGCGCCAACGACUAGAACAUGAUAAAAGGAUUGCUCAACAUAAUGAGUUAAUGAAAAGGCAUGCACAAAGUAUGGUUGAUUGGGGGAAAUCUGUCCAAGUGGAGAGUAGCCUUGGUGGUGUGCACAAGUUUCUUAUGGUGUGUAUACAUUUUGUUUCUAUUAUAGCCACUUGA